AUUAAAUACUUACAAUGCAAAAAAAUAUAAAGAGAAAUUAUACCCAUAUGAAAUUUAAUGAUGGUCAUAAUGAAGAACUUGCUAAAAAAGAACAAAAUUAUGUGAAUGGAAAAACGAUGAGUUCUAUUAAACAGGAAGAGCACAUCGUAGAGGAGUUGUCUAAUCGAGAUAACAAACAUAUUGUAAAUGAUUUAAAAUUAAAAUCGUCUUUAAAAAAAACAAUAACUGAUGAGUAUAAAAAGGUAUCCGAUGGAAUAUCCAGUACAGAAAUAAAUACAAAUAGAAUUUUCAUUCCUUCAAGUGGUAUGAACACCUCAGAAGGUAAGGUUAAAAAAAAGGUAGUUAUAGAAACUUUUGAUGAUAAUUCAAGUGUUGUUAAGGAUCAAAAUAAAUUAAAAAAGAAUAUUACGAAGCAGAAAGUGGCAUAUGAAAGUAAAAAAGUUGUAAAAUCCCAAGAAAAUGGGGAAGAAAAAAGGGAUAAAGAGGAAGAAGAUGAAGAGGAAGAGGAUGGAGAAGAAGAGGAUGGAGAAGAAGAGGAUGAAGAGGAAGAUGAGGGGGAGAAAGGGGAAGAAGAAGGUGAAGAGGAUGAUACUGAGCAAGAGAAAGAAGAUAAAGAAGGCGAAGAGGAGGAUACAGAGGAUGAGGAUGAAGAUGAGGAUGAAGAUGAGGAUGAAGAUGAGGAUGAAGAUGAGGAUGAGGAUGAGGAUGAGGAUGAGGAUGAAGAUGAGGAUGAAGAAGAGAAAGGGGAAGAAGAAGGCGAAGAGGAAAACGAAGAAGAAGAAGAAGAAGAAGAAGAAAAAAACGAAGAGGGAGAAAAGGAGAAAAAAAAAAACAAGAAUGAAAAAGAUGAAACAUUUAAAGGGCGCCAGAAAACGAAAGAAAUAAAAAAAAGUCAAACAAUGAAUUUAAAGAUAAAUGAUAAAAAAGUGUUAGAAAAAGGAAAAUCUAUUAUUAAUAAAGAAAGCGUAUUUCAAAGACUUUACACUAAUAAUAAACUACAAUAUGGUAAAAAAGAUUAUAAUAAAGAACUAAAAAAAACAUUUACAUUACAUGUAUACUCAACUAAUAAUGAUACAACAAAAAAGCCAUACACUACAAAACUCGACAGGAAGACAACUUUUGCAUCUAGUUCACAAACUAGUAAUAUUAAAAAAGGAAAUUUAGAAAAUAAAUUGAGUAUGAUUAAAAACCAACCCCAAAUAUUAAAUAUAGAAAAACGUUUAAAACAUACGAAUACUUUGAAUGUACAUCGACCAUUAUUAAAAAGUACUACACAUAUAUUCAGAGAUAAAAAAGCAUUAAAUAUAAAAACUUUUAAAGGUACUGAUAUUACUGCAAUGAAGGCAAUAAAAUCAAAAACGUUUGUAGAUAUUUCCUCUAUUAAAAACUAUGCAAAAGAAAAUGAUAAAAAAAAUGCAACUAAAAUUGCAAAAUCAAAUUUUGACUUAAGUGACAUAAAAAAUAAAAGAAUGGAUGAUAAAAGUAAGUGUAAAUUGACUAAGGAAUUGCAUAAUGAAACAUGUAUAUCUAUAAGUAGAGCUGUGAAUAACAUAAAUAGCAAAAAGAUGGUAUUAAAAAAAAAUAAUGUAUUCCAUGGAUUUUCGUUAUUUAAAAAUAUGAUUGCAAUAAAUAAAGAAGGGAAGAUAUGCAUUUGGAAUGGAUAUUAUUGGAAUUAUAUAUAUAUACCGUAUGAUACUUUUUUAUCAUUAUGUACUAAUAAACUAGGACACAUAUUAUGCAUUAAUUCUAAUAAUAAAGCAGGUUAUUUAAUGAAAAAUAAACAUUUUAAACCACUUAAUACAUAUGAAAAAUGUACAUUUUUGAAAGUUGCUCUUGAUAAUAAAAACAAGAUGUGGGGCAUAAAUUUGAGAGGUGAAUUAGAAAAAUGGAAUAAAUAUGGUUGGAUCACAAUCAAAAAGGCUUAUGGAAUUUCUAAACUAAGAUCAUUUGCAAUCGAUAAAAAUAAUAAACUUUGGGUUUUAGAUGAGAAGAAUUUUUUUUAUAUUUACGAUACAAAAGAUAAAAACUGGUUGUUGAAAAAAAUUAACGGAGCAAAUAUAAAAGAUUUUGAUUUUAAUGAAGACAAUGUUUUAAUAGCUAUUACCAAUGAUGAAAUAGUUAAGAUUUACAAUAAAAAAAAA
rnacentral:lncRNA from 1 species